rnacentral:rRNA from 1 species
GAAUUGCAGAAUUCCGCGAAUCAUCGAGUUUUUGAACGCAAGUUGCGCCCGAGGCUCGUCCGAGGGCAUGCCUGCCUGAGCGUCCG